rnacentral:rRNA from 1 species
UGGGGAAUAUUGCACAAUGGGCGCAAGCCUGAUGCAGCCAUGCCGCGUGUAUGAAGAAGGCCUUCGGGUUGUAAAGUACUUUCAGCGAGGAGGAAGGCGUUGUGGUUAAUAACCGCAACGAUUGACGUUACUCGCAGAAGAAGCACCGGCUAACUCCGUGCCAGCAGCCGCGGUAAUACGGAGGGUGCAAGCGUUAACCGGAAUUACUGGGCGUAAAGCGCACGCAGGCGGUCUGUCAAGUCGGAUGUGAAAUCCCCGGGCUCAACCUGGGAACUGCAUCCGAAACUGGCAGGCUAGAGUCUUGUAGAGGGGGGUAGAAUUCCAGGUGUAGCGGUGAAAUGCGUAGAGAUCUGGAGGAAUACCGGUGGCGAAGGCGGCCCCCUGGACAAAGACUGACGCUCAGGUGCGAAAGCGUGGGGAGCAAACA